rnacentral:rRNA from 1 species
CCAGCAGCCGCGGUAAUUCCAGCUCCACGAGCAUGUACGUAAGUUGUUGCAGUUAAAAAGCUCGUAGUUGGAUCUCAGGCUCGUGACCAGUGGUCCGCCCGAUACGGGUGUGUACUGCUGUGUCCGGUCUAUCGCUGGUUUCACGUGCGUAGUGCCCUUCACCGGGUGCUGCGUACUGCCAGUCAAUUACUCUGAAAAAAUUAGAGUGCUUAAAGCAAGCCGUUGUGCUUGAAUACUGUUGCAUGGAAUAAUGGAAUAGGACCUCGGAUCUAUUUUGUUGGUUUUCGGAGUCGAGGUAAUGAUUAAGAGGGACAGACGGGGGCAUUCGUAUUGCGCCGUUAGAGGUGAAAUUCUUGGAUCGGC